CCUAAACAUGCAAGCCGAGCGGUAUUUAUUCUUCGGAAUAGAGAGAGCGGCGUACGGGUGCGUAACACGUGUGCAACCUACCUUUAUCAGGAGGAUAGCCUUUCGAAAGGAAGAUUAAUACUCCAUAAUAUAUUAGAUGGCAUCAUUUAAUAUUGAAAACUCCGGUGGAUAGAGAUGGGCACGCGCAAGAUUAGAUAGUUGGUGAGGUAACGGCUCACCAAGUCAUUGAUCUUUAGGGGUCCUGAGAGGGAGAUCCCCCACACUGGUACUGAGACACGGACCAGACUCCUACGGGAGGCAGCAGUGAGGAAUAUUGGACAAUGGGUGAGAGCCUGAUCCAGCCAUCCCGCGUGAAGGAUGACGGUCCUACGGAUUGUAAACUUCUUUUGUAUAGGGAUAAACCUCUCUACGUGUAGAGAGCUGAAGGUACUAUACGAAUAAGCACCGGCUAACUCCGUGCCAGCAGCCGCGGUAAUACGGAGGGUGCAAGCGUUAUCCGGAUUUAUUGGGUUUAAAGGGUCCGCAGGCGGGCCGAUAAGUCAGUGGUGAAAUCUCAUAGCUUAACUAUGAAACUGCCAUUGAUACUGUCGGUCUUGAGUAAAUUAGAGGUAGCUGGAAUAAGUAGUGUAGCGGUGAAAUGCAUAGAUAUUACUUAGAACACCAAUUGCGAAGGCAGGUUACCAUGAUUUAACUGACGCUGAGGGACGAAAGCGUGGGGAGCGAACAGGAUUAGAUACCCUGGUAGUCCACGCCGUAAACGAUGCUAACUCGUUUUUGGGGCGCAAGCUUCAGAGACCAAGCGAAAGUGAUAAGUUAGCCACCUGGGGAGUACGUUCGCAAGAAUGAAACUCAAAGGAAUUGACGGGGGCCCGCACAAGCGGUGGAUUAUGUGGUUUAAUUCGAUGAUACGCGAGGAACCUUACCAAGACUUAAAUGGGAAAUGACCGGUUUA
rnacentral:rRNA from 1 species